rnacentral:rRNA from 1 species
UAAGGAAUAUUGGUCAAUGGACGCAAGUCUGAACCAGCCAUGCCGCGUGAAGGAUGAAGGUCCUCUGGAUUGUAAACUUCUUUUAUCUGGGACGAAAACGGGAUUUUUAUCUCAAUUGACGGUACCAGAGGAAUAAGCACCGGCUAACUCCGUGCCAGCAGCCGCGGUAAUACGGAGGGUGCGAGCGUUAUCCGGAUUUACUGGGUUUAAAGGGUGCGUAGGUGGGCUUAUAAGUCAGUGGUGAAAUCUCCGAGCUUAACUUGGAAACUGCCGGUGAUACUAUAGGUCGUGAAUUAUCUGGAGGUAAGCGGAAUAUGUCAUGUAGCGGUGAAAUGCUUAGAUAUGACAUAGAACACCAAUUGCGAAGGCAGCUUACUACAUAUAAAUUGACGCUGAGGCACGAAAGCGUGGGGAUCAAACA